rnacentral:lncRNA from 1 species
GAGCCCUUGGUCGUGUUGCCCGCCUUCUUCCUGUGGGUCUUGCUGGAUGCUCAUUGUCCCUGUGAGCCGAGGCCCUGGAGGCUUCAGAUUUAGGUGAUGUUGCCACGUAUGACUGUCCAUCAGCCAGGAGAUGAAC